rnacentral:rRNA from 1 species
UUAAAUAGAAGUUGACGGGGCCCGGCACAAGCGGAGGAGCAUGUGGUUAAUUCGAUGAUACGCGAGGAACCUUACCUGGGCUCGAACGUAAGAUGACUGUAGGUGAAAGCUUACAUCUCUUCGGAGCAUUUUACGAGGUGCUGCAUGGUUGUCGUCAGCUCGUGCCGUGAGGUGUCGGGUUAAGUCCCAUAACGAGCGCAACCCCUACCUUAGUUGCCAUCAGGUUAAGCUGGGGACUCUAAAGGAACUGCCUACGCAAGUAGUGAGGAAGCGGGGAUGACGUCAAAUCAGCACGGCCCUUACGUCCAGGGCUACACACGUGCUACAAUGGCCGAUACAGAGGGCAGCUACCUGGUGACAGGAUGCAAAUCUCCAAAGUCGGUCUCAGUUCGGAUCGGAGUCUGCAACCCGACUCCGUGAAGUUGGAUUCGCUAGUAAUCGCGCAUCAGCCAUGGCGCGGUGAAUACGUUCCCGGGCCUU